GACCAAGGAGUCUAGCAUGUGCGCGAGUCAUUGGGACUAUAAUAAACCUAAAGGCGCAAUGAAAGUAAAAGUCCGCCUUGUGCAGACUUAGGGAGGAUGGGACCGUUCUCGGACGGACCUCGCACUCCCGGGGCGUCUCGUUCUCAUCGCGAGAAGAGGCGCACCUAGAGCGUACACGCUGGGACCCGAAAGAUGGUGAACUAUGCCUGGUCAGGACGAAGUCAGGGGAAACCCUGAUGGAGGUCCGUAGCGAUUCUGACGUGCAAAUCGAUCGUCGGAACUGGGUAUAGGGGCGAAAGACUAAUCGAC
rnacentral:rRNA from 1 species